AGCCUCCUCCAGUAAUAACGGUUGUCUUGAACGUUCAAAUGCAUUGUGAUGCUUGUGCUCAAGCUUUGCAAAAACGGAUCCGCAAAAUUAAAGGGGUAGAAUCUGUUACGACAGACCUUGUAAAAAAUCAAGUAGUCGUAAAAGGUGUCAUUGACUCAGAAAAGAUAGCAAAUGAUGUUUAUAAGAGAACUGGAAAACAAGUUUCAGUUGUAAAGAAUGAAGAGAAAAAGGAAGAAGCUGAGAAGAAAGAAGAAGAGAAAAAAGAUAAAGAAGAAAAGAAACAAGGUGAAGCUGAGGAAAGCAAAGGAGAAGAUGAUCUACUAGAAAAUGGACCUAUAGCAACGGUAUUUGUCGCAACGGUUAUAUAAGACCAACCCGCAAGCAAACCGUUACAAGAGUGAAAUAAUCGUUGCCAUAGGGCAUUCUAUUGCAACAGUUGUUUUAACCGUAACGAUAGGAUUACCUGUGGCUACGGUUCUUUGCAAAAUAGGCCUAUGGAGACGGUUCAGUUUCCCUCCUAACUUUACCCACUUUUAUUUUUAUUUUCGUUUUUUCCCUCCUCCUUAUUUCACUAAACCCUAGACUUUGUUUUUAAUUUCUAAUAGCAAAAGAAAUAGAAGAACUCUUUCUAUCUCCAGACCCCAUCGAAAAUACUCUCUGGACAUAUCAAAGAAUACUCCCCCCUAGAUCCAACUUCCAAGCAAAUCUGAAGAUACCCAAUCCCUAGCCGCCGGAGAAGGAGAAGUCUCUUAAUUUUUCUUUAGCUGCAAAGUAGGUGAAGAGAUUUUGGUAGUAGUAGGGGGUGGAGAAGCUGCAAUUUCGGUGCGAAAAGCGCACAGACUUUGUCUCCUCAUCGUAAAGGUAUCAUUGAAAAGGCCAAUUUUUUAUCAAAGGUGUUGUAGAUGAAGAAAUGGAAGACAGAGGCAGUGAAGAUCUAAACCUUACUUAAAAAGACUUUUGAAUUGCUGUAGAUACAUGGUCUAGCCACGAACGAGUGUUUGUUAUCGUAUUUAUGUCAAAAUAUUUUACUUUUUAUGGAUAUUAUUAGGUCCUUGGACAAUUUGGAUUAUGAAUUGUUUCAUUUUGAUAUUUAUAUAAAUUUUACUGUUUUACUAUUUA